GAUGAACGCUGGCGGCGUGCCUAAUACAUGCAAGUCGAGCGAACGGACGAGAAGCUUGCUUCUCUGAUGUUAGCGGCGGACGGGUGAGUAACACGUGGAUAACCUACCUAUAAGACUGGGAUAACUUCGGGAAACCGGAGCUAAUACCGGAUAACAUUUUGAACCGCAUGGUUCAAAAGUGAAAGACGGUCUUGCUGUCACUUAUAGAUGGAUCCGCGCUGCAUUAGCUAGUUGGUAAGGUAACGGCUUACCAAGGCAACGAUGCAUAGCCGACCUGAGAGGGUGAUCGGCCACACUGGAACUGAGACACGGUCCAGACUCCUACGGGAGGCAGCAGUAGGGAAUCUUCCGCAAUGGGCGAAAGCCUGACGGAGCAACGCCGCGUGAGUGAUGAAGGUCUUCGGAUCGUAAAACUCUGUUAUUAGGGAAGAACAUAUGUGUAAGUAACUGUGCACAUCUUGACGGUACCUAAUCAGAAAGCCACGGCUAACUACGUGCCAGCAGCCGCGGUAAUACGUAGGUGGCAAGCGUUAUCCGGAAUUAUUGGGCGUAAAGCGCGCGUAGGCGGUUUUUUAAGUCUGAUGUGAAAGCCCACGGCUCAACCGUGGAGGGUCAUUGGAAACUGGAAAACUUGAGUGCAGAAGAGGAAAGUGGAAUUCCAUGUGUAGCGGUGAAAUGCGCAGAGAUAUGGAGGAACACCAGUGGCGAAGGCGACUUUCUGGUCUGUAACUGACGCUGAUGUGCGAAAGCGUGGGGAUCAAACAGGAUUAGAUACCCUGGUAGUCCACGCCGUAAACGAUGAGUGCUAAGUGUUAGGGGGUUUCCGCCCCUUAGUGCUGCAGCUAACGCAUUAAGCACUCCGCCUGGGGAGUACGACCGCAAGGUUGAAACUCAAAGGAAUUGACGGGGACCCGCACAAGCGGUGGAGCAUGUGGUUUAAUUCGAAGCAACGCGAAGAACCUUACCAAAUCUUGACAUCCUUUGACAACUCUAGAGAUAGAGCCUUCCCCUUCGGGGGACAAAGUGACAGGUGGUGCAUGGUUGUCGUCAGCUCGUGUCGUGAGAUGUUGGGUUAAGUCCCGCAACGAGCGCAACCCUUAAGCUUAGUUGCCAUCAUUAAGUUGGGCACUCUAAGUUGACUGCCGGUGACAAACCGGAGGAAGGUGGGGAUGACGUCAAAUCAUCAUGCCCCUUAUGAUUUGGGCUACACACGUGCUACAAUGGACAAUACAAAGGGCAGCGAAACCGCGAGGUCAAGCAAAUCCCAUAAAGUUGUUCUCAGUUCGGAUUGUAGUCUGCAACUCGACUACAUGAAGCUGGAAUCGCUAGUAAUCGUAGAUCAGCAUGCUACGGUGAAUACGUUCCCGGGUCU
rnacentral:rRNA from 1 species